CUAGCGCGGUGGUCCCACCUGACCCCAUGCCGAACUCAGAAGUGAAACGCCGUAGCGCCGAUGAUAGUGUGGGGUCUCCCCAUGCGAGAGUAGGGAACUGCCAGGC
rnacentral:rRNA from 1 species